rnacentral:rRNA from 1 species
UACGUAGGGUGCGAGCGUUAAUCGGAAUUACUGGGCGUAAAGCGUGCGCAGGCGGCGCGUUAAGACAGGUGUGAAAGCCCCGAGCUUAACUUGGGAAUUGCGCUUGUGACUGGCGUGCUGGAGUGUGGCAGAGGGAGGUGGAAUUCCACGUGUAGCAGUGAAAUGCGUAGAGAUGUGGAGGAACACCGAUGGCGAAGGCAGCCUCCUGGGCCAGCACUGACGCUCAUGCACGAAAGCGUGGGGAGCGAACCGG